ACUAUAUCAUCCUGAACACACCAAUCUUGUUUACUUUCAGAAGCUAAGCAGGGUCAGGACUGGCUAGGACAUGGGUGGGAGAUUAGUGGAGAAUACCAGACAUUU
rnacentral:rRNA from 1 species